rnacentral:lncRNA from 1 species
GACAGGCCCUCAAAACGGCCACGACCCUGCUCCACUUCCUGUGGCGGACUCCGCGCAGUACCAUCAUUCCCUGGCAAGCCGCAGUAGCCAUAGCCGCCCUGCUCCACUUCCUGUGGCGGACUCCGCACAGCUCCACUAUCCCCUGGCAGGCCACAGUAACGGCCACGAACCUGCUCCACCUCCUGCGACGGAUACCAUGCGAUUCUCCUGACGACGGACGCUGCUCCACCCCUCAUAACAGAUUCCACGUGGCGGGUCGAGGUGAUGCCCAGGUAUCUGCUCCAUUAUAUUUCGCAAUCAAUUUCCCUGACCAUGGGCGGCCCACUACCAGGCGGUUACAAACGUCGCCAUCAGUCCGUUGCCUCCCCCGCCUAUAAAAGGGGGACUCAGAUACGUUAUUCUUUAAGCUCUUUUGCCUUAUCUCAAAACUCUGCUAAAUUUUUCGUUCGAGCACUCCAUUCUUGUUGAGGCAGAGAACUGACUUGAGCGUCGGAGGGUCUUGCCGGAGCAACCCCACCUCCGGUUUAGACUUCCUUUGCAGGUCCCG